GGUUUACUGAAAACAACAGUGAGGCUCUGGCUCUUCAAUGGAAGCUGAUUUCAUUGCAAGAAGAUCACACCGCAAAGAAGCAGGCUCUUUUCUGUCAUCAACUGGAGGAGGAAAAGGGGGCAAAAUGAGGAUCUUGAAGAUUUCUGCCAGGAUAUGUUAUUUAAAACAUUUCUCAGCUGUACUCUAUUGUAGAAUGAGAAGGAACUCAUCCAAGUAAUCAUCAUUUAUAAUCUUGGAAGACUUUCAAUAAACUAGUUGCCUGACUGAUCAUAAAUAAUCCAGACAUUUCCAAAGUACGCUGAAAUGUGCCUGCUAUACUGUGGUGAGUCAACAAUGAAUUUUCAAAUCUUCCAUCAACAUCAGUGAAACGUUAAUGAACACCAGCACUGGAAAUGGGAUGCCAGAGCAUAUAUAACUACAGUGAGUCAAAGAAGUUCCUUGGAAGGAUAACCAACUUUUACUUAAUCGAAAGUAAAAUGGUCAGGUCGACACCUUCUGAUGACUCCGCC